GUCCUUGUAGCUCAACGGAUAGAGCGUCUGUCUCCUAUAAGGUUGUGGGUUCGAAUCCCACUAAGGAUA
rnacentral:tRNA from 1 species